rnacentral:rRNA from 1 species
GACGGGACCCGCACAAGCGGUGGAUGAUGUGGAUUAAUUCGAUGCAACGCGAAAACCUUACUACCCUUGACAUGUCCGGAAUCCCGAAGAGAUUUGGGAGUGCUCGCAAGAGAACCGGAACACAGGUGCUGCAUGGCUGUCGUCAGCUCGUGUCGUGAGAUGUUGGGUUAAGUCCCGCAACGAGCGCAACCCUUGUCAUUAGUUGCCAUCAUUUGGUUGGGCACUCUAAUGAGACUGCCGGUGACAAACCGGAGGAAGGUGGGGAUGACGUCAAGUCCUCAUGGCCCUUAUGGGUAGGGCUUCACACGUCAUACAAUGGUCGGUACAGAGGGUUGCCAACCCGCGAGGGGGAGCUAAUCCCACAAAGCCGAUCGUAGUCCGGAUCGCAGUCUGCAACUCGACUGCGUGAAGUCGGAAUCGCUAGUAAUCGUGGAUCAGCAUGUCACGGUGAAUACGUUCCCGGGUCUU